UAUGUGAUCGUCUCUCGCAUAUCAAUAAGCGGAGGAAAAGAAACUAACAAGGAUUCCCCUAGUAACGGCGAGUGAAGCGGGAAGAGCUCAAAUUUGAAAUCUUAAAGGGUUUCCCUUUACGAAUUGUAGUUUAAAGAAGUGUUUUCUGUUGAGGUUUUGGUAAAAGUUCUUUGGAAUAGGACAUCAUAGAGGGUGAGAAUCCCGUAUUUGACCUUUACUUUCAACCUUUGUGAUACACUUUCAAAGAGUCGGAUUGUUUGGGAAUGCAGUCCAAAAUGGGUGGUAAAUUUCAUCUAAAGCUAAAUAUUGGCGAGAGACCGAUAGCGAACAAGUACCGUGAGGGAAAGAUGAAAAGAACUUUGAAAAGAGAGUUAAACAGUACGUGAAAUUGUCAAAAGGGAAGCGUUUGACACCAGUGUUGUUUUUCUGAAAAUCAAUUAAAGAACUGUUUAUGCUAAGCUGUUUAGACUUUAUCAGCUAACUGUUUAGUUUUGAGCUUUUCUUUAAUGCACUUUUCAGUUAACAAGUCAACAUCAAUUUCUUUUGCUGUAAAAAAGCUUGAGGAAGGUGGCUUGAGAUUCGUCUUAAGUGUUUAUAGCCUCUUGCCUAUGCAGUCGGAGAGAUUGAGGUCUGCAGCGUAGAUCCUUCGGGGCUAAAUGCAUUUGUGCUAAGUUAUAGCAUUUUAUAGACAACUUGUUGACUAUGAUUUGUCUUGUAGCUUACUCGCUUAUGUUAUUUUACCUACGCUUAGGAUGUUGAUAUGCAUGACUGAUA
rnacentral:rRNA from 1 species